rnacentral:rRNA from 1 species
GAUCCUGGCUCAGGAUGAACGCUAGCUACAGGCUUAACACAUGCAAGUCGAGGGGAAACGAUAGAGAAAGCUUGCUUUUUCUAGGCGUCGACCGGCGCACGGGUGAGUAACGCGUAUCCAACCUGCCCAUCACUUGGGGAUAACUUUGCGAAAGUAAGACUAAUACCCAAUGAUAUCCGUCGAAGACAUCUGAAGUGGAUUAAAGAUUUAUCGGUGAUGGAUGGGGAUGCGUCUGAUUAGCUUGUUGGCGGGGUAACGGCCCACCAAGGCGACGAUCAGUAGGGGUUCUGAGAGGAAGGUCCCCCACAUUGGAACUGAGACACGGUCCAAACUCCUACGGGAGGCAGCAGUGAGGAAUAUUGGUCAAUGGACGAGAGUCUGAACCAGCCAAGUAGCGUGCAGGAUGACGGCCCUAUGGGUUGUAAACUGCUUUUAUAAGGGAAUAAAGUGAGCCUCGUGAGGCUUUUUGCAUGUACCUUAUGAAUAAGGACCGGCUAAUUCCGUGCCAGCAGCCGCGGUAAUACGGAAGGUCCGGGCGUUAUCCGGAUUUAUUGGGUUUAAAGGGAGCGUAGGCCGGAGAUUAAGCGUGUUGUGAAAUGUAGAUGCUCAACAUCUGAACUGCAGCGCGAACUGGUUUCCUUGAGUACGCACAAAGUGGGCGGAAUUCGUGGUGUAGCGGUGAAAUGCUUAGAUAUCACGAAGAACUCCGAUUGCGAAGGCAGCUCACUGGAGCGCAACUGACGCUGAAGCUCGAAAGUGCGGGUAUCGAACAGGAUUAGAUACCCUGGUAGUCCGCACGGUAAACGAUGGAUGCCCGCUGUUGGUCUGAAUAGGUCAGCGGCCAAGCGAAAGCAUUAAGCAUCCCACCUGGGGAGUACGCCGGCAACGGUGAAACUCAAAGGA